rnacentral:rRNA from 1 species
GUCGGAAUCUGGGAGGACCAUCUCCCAAGGCUAAAUACUCCCUAGUGAUCGAUAGUGAACCAGUACCGUGAGGGAAAGGUGAAAAGCACCCCGGAAGGGGAGUGAAAGAGAUCCUGAAACCGUGUGCCUACAAAUAGUCAGAGCCCGUUAAUGGGUGAUGGCGUGCCUUUUGUAGAAUGAACCGGCGAGUUACGAUUUGAUGCAAGGUUAAGCAGUAAAUGUGGAGCCGUAGCGAAAGCGAGUCUGAAUAGGGCGUUUAGUAUUUGGUCGUAGACCCGAAACCAGGUGAUCUACCCUUGGUCAGGUUGAAGUUCAGGUAACACUGAAUGGAGGACCGAACCGACUUACGUUGAAAAGUGAGCGGAUGAACUGAGGGUAGCGGAGAAAUUCCAAUCGAACCUGGAGAUAGCUGGUUCUCUCCGAAAUAGCUUUAGGGCUAGCCUCAAGUGAUGAUUAUUGGAGGUAGAGCACUGUUUGGACGAGGGGCCCCUCUCGGGUUACCGAAUUCAGACAAACUCCGAAUGCCAAUUAAUUUAACUUGGGAGUCAGAACAUGGGUGAUAA